CAGCGAGCUGCCUCCUGCUUUGGUGGAGAAGGACAGGAUGCAAGAUCAGCUCCCAGUGCAGCCUCAGUGAGACGGCUAGAGUAGGCAUUAUCUGCAGAGUCAUCAGUUAAAUAUGCCAGAUGAAGAGAUUGUGAUGAUGGAGAACACUUGCUGGAUCAAAACCAGGAAUGAAAGCAUGCUCCUCACAUUGAAACAAUUGCCACAUCAGUAAUUUUUAGACUUCUACUUGCGAUAUUUG